rnacentral:rRNA from 1 species
GAUGAACGCUGGCGGCGUGCCUAAUACAUGCAAGUCGAGCGAACAGACGAUAAGCUCGCUCUCCUGACGUUAGCGGCGGACGGGCGAGUAACACGUGGAUCACCUACUUCUUAGUCUGGGAUAAUUUCGUGAAACCGGUUCUAAUACCAGCGAAUAUAUUGUACGGCAUGGAUCAAUAGUGAUUGACGCCUUUGCUGUCUCUUUGAGAUGGUUCCGCGCCGGAUUAGCUAGUUGGUAAGGUAACGGCCUACCAAGGCGACGAUGCGUAGCUGACCUGAGAGGGUGAUCAGCCACACUGGAACUGAGACACGGUCCAGACUCCUACGGGAGGCAGCAGUAGGGAAUAUUCGACAAUGGGCGAAAGCUUGACGGAGCAACGCCGCGUGAGUGAUGAAGGUCUUCGGGUCGUAAAGCUCUGUUAUUAGGGAAGAACAAAUGUGUAAGUAACUAUGCACGUCUUGACGGUACCUAAUCAGAAAGCCACGGCUAACUACGUG